rnacentral:rRNA from 1 species
CCGGAGGAAGGUGGGGAUGACGUCAAGUCCUCAUGGCCCUUAUGGGUAGGGCUUCACACGUCAUACAAUGGUCGGUACAGAGGGUUGCCAAGCCGCGAGGUGGAGCCAAUCCCUUAAAGCCGAUACGUAGUCCGGAUCGUAGUCUGCAACUCGACUACGUGAAGUCGGAAUCGCUAGUAAUCGCAGAUCAGCAUGCUGCGGUGAAUACGUUCCCGGGUCUUU